AUUGUAAUAGUUUUCCCAAAUUGAACCACCUUUGAAAAAUUCUAGACCCCCAUUGAGCUUUUAAAACCGCCUGCACAAGGCAAUUUGAAUACUAAAUGUUCAGGAUGGACCGACAAACUCGGACGGGCUGCAUAUAUAACAUAUUGAGACUAAACACAACACACCGUAAGUGCUAUGGCAAGCGUGUAGAAGGUGUGAGAAGCUCGCAUCCGUCUCGAUGCGCUCUACACCAAGCAUCACCAUGAAAUGUCGCCUUGUAUUGUCUACGCACAAUUACAGUAAUCAACGAGAUUGUUCGCAUCUUGGAGACGUCCGUUCCAAGACAGGAAUGUGUCGGACAGACAGGAAUACAAAUUAAAACUUGUUCUUUAUCCCUUUCUCGAGUAAUUAUUACGCUUUUUGGGAGCUAGACCAGCCUUUGAAAUGAUCUUUAUAGGGCGCGUGGGACAUUUGCUAGGUAACAUCCGACUCAGGUGAUAUGACGCAAGAUCUCCAAGGCGUUUUAAGAGUUUUUACAUUUGAUGUA